rnacentral:rRNA from 1 species
GACGAACGCUGGCGGCAUGCCUAAUACAUGCGAGUCGAGCGAACAGAUGAAGUGCUUGCACUUCUGACGUUAGCGGCGAACGGGUGAGUAACACGUAAGGAAUCUACCUAUAAGUGGGGGAUAACAUUCGGAAACGGGUGCUAAUACCGCAUAAUAUCUUCUUCCGCAUGGAAGAAGAUUGAAAGACGGCUCUGCUGUCACUUAUAGAUGACCUUGCGGUGCAUUAGUUAGUUGGUGGGGUAAUGGCCUACCAAGACGAUGAUGCAUAGCCGACCUGAGAGGGUGAUCGGCCACAUUGGGACUGAGACACGGCCCAAACUCCUACGGGAGGCAGCAGUAGGGAAUCUUCCGCAAUGGGCGAAAGCCUGACGGAGCAAUGCCGCGUGAGUGAAGAAGGCCUUCGGGUCGUAAAACUCUGUUAUAAGAGAAGAACAAAUUGUAGAGUAACUGCUACAGUCUUGACGGUAUCUUAUCAGAAAGCCACGGCUAACUACGUGCCAGCCGCCGCAGUAA